rnacentral:tRNA from 1 species
AGUGUAGUUCAGUGGUAGAGCUCUUAUCUGGCACUUCUGAAGCCCUGGGUUCAAUCCCCAGCACU